UACGAAGGGUGCAAGCGUUAUCCGGAUUUAUUGGGUUUAAAGGGUGCGUAGGCGGAAUGAUAAGUCAGUGGUGAAAGCCUGCAGCUCAACUGUAGAAUUGCCGUUGAUACUGUCAUUCUUGAGUAUAUUUGAUGUGGGCGGAAUGUGUCAUGUAGCGGUGAAAUGCUUAGAUAUGACACAGAACACCGAUGGCGAAGGCAAUCCCCUGGACCUGUACUGACGCUCAUGCACGAAAGCGUGGGGAGCAAAAGGG
rnacentral:rRNA from 1 species